UUCUUCGCAAAUUACCGGGUAAGUGAGUGUGAGAUUGAAAGACCCCCGAAGGGAGACCCUCACUCAAGCCUCGGGAUAUGGCGCGGACCCAAAUGAGACACAGAGACCG
rnacentral:miRNA from 7 species